rnacentral:rRNA from 1 species
AUUGAACGCUGGCGGCAUGCCUUACACAUGCAAGUCGAACGGUGACAGGUCUUCGGAUGCUGACGAGUGGCGAACGGGUGAGUAAUACAUCGGAACGUGCCUAGUAGUGGGGGAUAACUACUCGAAAGAGUGGCUAAUACCGCAUGAGAUCUACGGAUGAAAGCAGGGGAUCGCAAGACCCUGUGCUACUAGAGCGGCCGAUGGCAGAUUAGGUAGUUGGUGGGACAAAAGCUUACCAAGCCGACGAUCUGUAGCUGGUCUGAGAGGACGAUCAGCCACACUGGGACUGAGACACGGCCCAGACUCCUACGGGAGGCAGCAGUGGGGAAUUUUGGACAAUGGGCGAAAGCCUGAUCCAGCAAUGCCGCGUGCAGGAUGAAGGCCUUCGGGUUGUAAACUGCUUUUGUACGGAACGAAAAGCCCUGGGUUAAUACCCUGGGGUCAUGACGGUACCGUAAGAAUAAGCACCGGCUAACUACGUGCCAGCCGCCGCCGUAA